rnacentral:rRNA from 1 species
AGUGAACGCUGGCGGUAGGCCUAACACAUGCAAGUCGAACGGCAGCACAGUAAUAGCUUGCUCUUACGGGUGGCGAGUGGCGGACGGGUGAUGAAUACAUCGGAAUCUACUUUUUCGUGGGGGAUAACGUAGGGAAACUUACGCUAAUACCGCAUACGACCUACGGGUGAAAGCAGGGGAUCUUCGGACCUUGCGCGAUUGAAUGAGCCGAUGUCGGAUUAGCUAGUUGGCGGGGUAAAGGCCCACCAAGGCGACGAUCCGUAGCUGGUCUGAGAGGAUGAUCAGCCACACUGGAACUGAGACACGGUCCAGACUCCUACGGGAGGCAGCAGUGGGGAAUAUUGGACAAUGGGCGCAAGCCUGAUCCAGCCAUACCGCGUGGGUGAAGAAGGCCUUCGGGUUGUAAAGCCCUUUUGUUGGGAAAGAAAAGCAGCAGGUUAAUACCCCGCUGUUCUGACGGUACCAAAAGAAUAAGCACCGGCUAACUUCGUG